rnacentral:antisense_RNA from 1 species
CUUGAUCGAGCCCAGCCAGAGCGGCAGGUCGGAGGGGCGGUCCUUGCCGUAGGUGGCCAGCAGCGCCUGCGCCUC